rnacentral:rRNA from 1 species
UACGUAGGGGGCAAGCGUUGUCCGGAAUCAUUGGGCGUAAAGCGCGCGUAGGCGGCCCGGUAAGUCUGCUGUGAAAGUCAAAGGCUCAACCUUUGAAUGUCAGCGGAUACUGCCGGGCUAGAGUCCGGAAGAGGCGAGUGGAAUUCCUGGUGUAGCGGUGGAAUGCGCAGAUAUCAGGAGGAACACCAACGGCGAAGGCAGCUCGCUAGGACGGUACUGACGCUGAGGCGCGAAAGCGUGGGGAGCAAACAGG